UGGGGAAUAUUGCACAACGGGCGAAAGCCUGAUGCAGCAACGCCGCGUGAGUGAUGAAGGCCUUCGGGUUGUAAAGCUCUGUCUUUUGGGACGAUAAUGACGGUACCAAAGGAGGAAGCCACGGCUAACUACGUGCCAGCAGCCGCGGUAAUACGUAGGUGGCAAGCGUUGUCCGGAUUUACUGGGCGUAAAGGAUGCGUAGGCGGAUUUUUAAGUGAGAUGUGAAAACCCUAAGCUUAACUUGGGGACUGCAUUUCAUACUGGAAAUCUAGAGUGCGGGAGAGGAGAAUGGAAUUCCUAGUGUAGCGGUGAAAUGCGUAGAGAUUAGGAAGAACACCAGUGGCGAAGGCGAUUCUCUGGACCGUAACUGACGCUGAGGCAUGAAAGCGUGGGUAGCAAACAGGAUUAGAUACCCUGAUAGUCCACGCCGUAAACGAUGAGUACUAGGUGUAGGAGGUAUCGACCCCUUCUGUGCCGCAGUUAACACAAUAAGUACUCCGCCUGGGAAGUACGAUCGCAAGAUUAAAACUC
rnacentral:rRNA from 1 species